AUUGAACGCUGGCGGAAUGCUUUACACAUGCAAGUCGAACGGCAGCACGGACUUCGGUCUGGUGGCGAGUGGCGAACGGGUGAGUAAUGUAUCGGAACGUGCCCAGUCGUGGGGGAUAACGUAGUGAAAAUUACGCUAAUACCGCAUACGAUCUAUGGAUGAAAGCGGGGGAUCGCAAGACCUCGCGCGAUUGGAGCGGCCGAUAUCAGAUUAGGUAGUUGGUGGGGUAAAGGCCCACCAAGCCAACGAUCUGUAGCUGGUCUGAGAGGACGACCAGCAACACGGGGACUGGGACACGGUCCAGACUCCUACGGGAGGCAGCAGUGGGGAAUUUUGGACAAUGGGCGAAAGCCUGAUCCAGCCAUUCCGCGUGCAGGAUGAAGGCCCUCGGGUUGUAAACUGCUUUUGUACAGAACGAAAAGGUUUCUACUAAUACUAGGAGCUCAUGACGGUACUGUAAGAAUAAGCACCGGCUAACUACGUGCCAGCAGCCGCCGCAG
rnacentral:rRNA from 1 species